CGCGCAGGCGGAUGGUUGCGUCCGGAGUGAAAUUUCGCCGCUCAACGGCGAAGCUGCUUUGGAUACGGACCGUCUAGGGACCGGUAGAGGCUGGUAGAAUUGCAGGUGUAGCGGUGGAAUGCGUAGAGAUCUGCAAGAAUACCCGUGGCGAAGGCGGCCAGCUGGGCCGGAUCCGACGCUGAGGCGCGAAAGCGUGGGGAGCAAACA
rnacentral:rRNA from 1 species